rnacentral:rRNA from 1 species
CCUACGGGACGCAGCAGUGGGGGAUAUUGGACAAUGGGGGAAACCCUGAUCCAGCGAUGCCGCGUGAGGGAAGAAGGUUUUCGGAUUGUAAACCUCUGUGGAGGGGGACGAUAAUGACGGUACCCCUUUAGGGAGCCACGGCUAACUACGUGCCAGCAGCCGCGGUAAUACGUAGGUGGCGAGCGUUGUCCGGAUUUAUUGGGUUUAAAGGGUGCGUAGGCGGGCUUUUAAGUCAGCGGUAAAAAUUCGGGGCUCAACCCCGUCCGGCCGUUGAAACUGGGGGCCUUGAGUGGGCGAGAAGAAGG